CACGUAGGGCGCAAGCGUUGUCCGGAAUUAUUGGGCGUAAAGAGCUCGUAGGCGGUCUGUUGCGUCCGCUGUGAAAACCCAGGGCUUAACCCUGGGCUGGCAGUGGAUACGGACAGACUAGAGGUAGGUAGGGGAGAAUGGAAUUCCCGGUGUAGCGGUGAAAUGCGCAGAUAUCAGGAGGAACACCGGUGGCGAAGGCGGGUCUCUGGGCCGAUACUGACGCUGAGGAGCGAAAGCGUGGGGAGCGAACAGG
rnacentral:rRNA from 1 species